rfam:Alkanindiges sp. H1 contig13, whole genome shotgun sequence.
GUUAUUAUCCGCCCCCUCAUAAUUGAUGGGGCGGUUGAUUUUUCAAUUGCCUUUUUGGAGAAAAUGAAUGGCUCGUAUUGCCGGUGUUAACAUUCCGGAU